rnacentral:lncRNA from 1 species
GGUGGAAUAGGAUGGCCAUGCGAAUUCAUGGCCAUUGAUGGAGGCAUUGGUGGACGAUUUACCAUGAGAUUUUGCUGACCUAGCAUCUGUGGCAUGGGAGGAGGUGGGGGCCGAACCUGAGGAAUCAUGUUAACCAUAGGAGGUCGAGGUGGAGGCGGAGCAGCAACCCCAGCACCGGUGGAGGUGGAAUACUGGACGGUAUUAGGAGGCCUAGGAAUAUUCAGCGCAAGCCCAGGAGGUGGAGGUAGUGGCCUAACAGAUGGAAAACCAGGUCUGGGAGGUGGAGGAGCCUGCGGACCAGGAAGGUUUCUUUCAUCAUUUGCAGCAUCAUUCUGAUCAUCUGCAUUAGUGUUGUGAGACAUU